AAACGAUUCAGUUUUAGAAUGUCAUACUUUGCUAUAACGCAAUUAUAUACAACUUUCAGCAACGGAUCUCUUGGCUCUCGCAUCGAUGAAGAACGCAGCGAAAUGCGAUAAGUAAUGUGAAUUGCAGAAUUCAGUGAAUCAUCGAAUCUUUGAACGCACCUUGCGCUCCUUGGUAUUCCGAGGAGCAUGCCUGUUUGAGUCUCAUGGAAUUCUCAACCUUCAGCUUUAUUGAUGAAGGCUUGGACUUGGAGGUCGUGCCGGCUCUCGUAGUCGGCUCCUCUGAAAUGCAUU
rnacentral:rRNA from 1 species